rnacentral:lncRNA from 1 species
UGAGAACUACGUUACCACGGAUCACCAGAUCCGCUCCCUUCCCUCCCGUCAGCAGUAGAGGCGCAAGAAGAUGUAGAGAACCCGUCUCCCUUCCCAUAAGCACGACAGAUGAAACACACGAGACACUGGAUAUAGGGUUGGGCCUCUGGCCUCUUUCUGAUCUCUGUAUUAUGAGGGGGUGUACAAGUUCCUUAUAUAGAGAUGUGAGACCCCUCAGGGGCAAAGCAGGUAUUUGCCCACAUAACCCUAACUAGGGUUACUUAACACUCCCCCUUGGGCGAAUACCGCGACCAACACAUGCCUCGUUAAAACUCCGAAAAAACCCAGUGGGAAAAAUGUGGAGAAAGAGUGCAUGGUGACACAAAUUGCAUUUGCACUUUGUUGCCUCGUUAAAAACCUCAUGUGAGAAACUUCAGGAAAACUCACCAAGGAAAAAGAGUACAACAACUGUCAUCAGGACAUAUUUCGAUCUUGUAUAUCUAGAUUCAAUUGAAUCUUCUAUAAAGGCUAACUUUAGAAAUGUGCUCCCCCUAAUCCUUGCAAAACCGUAUCAAUAAGGCAAAACAUAUUCUUCUGGAAGUAUAUGCAUAUAAAGAUUUAGCAAACGGAUUGCAUAUCCUUGCAAGGACUAUUUCAGGAACUUUACCUCUACUCACUUCUAGGAUAUACGAGGUAAGUGCACGUAUCAAUAUAAAUAAGCCACCUUGAUUGAUGGUGUUCGAUCGACUGGAUCUAUAUAUUUGAUAGAAAGUUCCAUAAAGGCUCACAUAUUGAUCAUCAAGCUCACGCCUUCAGGACAUAGAAUAAGACAUUUAUUGUCUCACGAUUGUGAUCAAUAUAAGCAUUCGCUCCCCCUGACGGUGACAUCUGUCAAAGUCUUUAUCCCUCAUAACUCAAGCAUAUUCUUCAAGAUAUAUGUCUCAUUGUUCAUCUGGAAUAACGAGAAUGGAUGAGGUUGGGGUGCUAUCAUUUUCUAUCUUACACCACAAUUUAUACAUAGUUGUGCAAAGCAAAUAACAUGUCCUUCAAUAGGACUUAGGGGAUAAUAUAGUUGCAAUAGUACAUAUUCUAAAUAUGACACAUCGCUCCAGGCGUUCAUCCAUCGCAACAUCUAUGAUGGUGUAACAAAAGUCCAUCAAAGAUCAUAAUCCAUUAGAGAUUUUUCAUCGAUCAGAUACAUCGUUGUAGUCUGUCAUUCUGGCACAAUGGGGAUAUUUUGCCAGUAACACCUAAACCUUAUAGAUUUCUGCCAUCGUGGCUUUAGAGGAUACCGUAAUUCCACAUCUAGUGAAAAAUACCAUGAGUAAAGAUCGUGGAAUGCACAUGUGCUUAUUCAGUGAACUUCAAGUCCUUUGGUACCUCAUCUUAUUCCUUUUCGGGUCUGUAUGGGUCUUUAUCCCUUUAUAGGGAUUAUCAAACUUUGGUGUUUAACACAGACUUUAUUUCUUCUGGAAAGGUUCCAUCAAGGAACUAUAAUCUCAUCUAGGAGAUAUUCUCUCUAUAUAUGAGAGUGCUCAUUCGUCGGGAAUGUAUUAUUCGGUACGAGAUUUAUAUGUUGCAUAUUUAUAAUUCAAAGAUAUGAUCCUCCUAGGAUCUCAUGAUGGAUCUUCAGAAUCCUAUUAACUGCAUAUUAUAAUUCAUGCCAUUUGCAAGAUAUAUUACAUAGCGGAACUGUGUUUAUUCAACACAUAUGUGGGAUGGAUCUCUCACAAGACCACUUGAACCAUCGCAUUCACCACACAUUAUUUCAAUAGUGCCCAUAAUGUCCAAACUUUAAGCUCGUGACUUUCACUUUGCGAUUAUUGGUUCAGCCUCGAUUGCAUUUAUCAAUGACCCGAUAAGAGAGCUUAAAGCACUCAUGCCUAGGACUUUGUUUUGGAUCCAUUUGCAAUCUAGAGAGGCAAGAUAGGUGUCGACAUAUUUGUCUCCCACAUUUAAUAAUGAUCUUCGUCAUUUCCCAAAACGAAAGAUUCAUUGUUCCGUAUUCCUAGCACAAUGAUAUUGCGCGCAUUACUAGGAAUUUCAUCAUCAUCAUGAACCUCUUCGUGAGGCAACUCACCAGCAGGGCGAGUUCAUCGGAGGAGAGUUAUUACAGACCACGUGAAUCUGCAAUCAUAAUAUAUGCUUCGACUAAGGCUAAUGGAUCAUAUUCACAGGCGUCCCCGAGAAUAGAUCAAAUGCCAAUAAGUCAAAUGUGGAUAUGAUAUUAAUCCCGGGUAUAUCCACAUCUACAUCAGGUAGAAGCAUUCAAACCAAUAUGGUUAAUCCUCAACGAUUUCUGGCAAACUCCAUAUACAUAGGAGUACACACUAAACGACAAGUUUAGUUUGGCUUUUGUGCGUUUUAUAGAAUAUUGAGGCAUUACACUAUAUGGGCAUUCCCCCCUAAUGCCGAGAUGUUCUAAAAGCAUACAGAUAAAAUCCCCAACCACAAUCAUCCAGUUGUGGCCAAUGUAUGCUAUUGUGGUGAUUUAUUUGGGAAAUCUUACGCACAUUACAGAUAGGGGUUUUAUGCAGUGAGCUUUGGACUUAGAUUAAUGUAGUGGCAUGAAUACUACAUAUUUGUCCUUCACAUGAAGGUUAGUCUCAACAUCCAGCGAGACACGCAACAACUAGUUGCUUCAUGGUUACAAUUCUGCAAACUUAUUGUUAUUAUUACCAAAUACAUAGUCAAUCAUUAAGAUUUAGACUAACAUGCACAACACUAUUUUAUCCAUAAGGCUUCUCCAGGGGCUCAUGAAUACCAUUCGUCAUUUGGAGCCAUUAGUUGACUUCAGAUCAACAAGUAAAAUGACCAUCAGGGUCUAGCGCUCACAAAGACAUUCACUGGUUGCAUUGUGCUUUGAGGCACAUAGGAAAAUGUGUGUUUAUAUUGGUAGUAAAGUGCACGGCAUCAUGCCAAUGCUGCCAAGCAGAGACUUUUAUAUGCAGAGAUGUAUAGUCCAACUCGUUUUAUUAUUGCCCAUGGUUUACCCAAUUACUCAUAACGUUCUGAAAUUGGGUAUCGAUUUAUGCAACAUUUUUAGGUAUUAUAAUUUUGAGAGAGAAUUUAUAACAAUAGUUAUUAAUUUGUGGUGUUGCCAGCAGGGCAAACAUUUCUCCUUAUAUUAUAUACCAAAUUGUUCUAUAUAGCAUUAUUUCGAUCUCUUCAUUGUUCAGCAAAAAGAGAAGCUUUGGAAUAGAACAGACAAAGCCAAGAAUUCAUUUUAUCUGGGAAAAUCACCAUAUAACUAGCUUUUGAUGAAGCAAAUGAUGAUAGCUACUUGACAAGAACGAAACAAGACUAGUAUCCGCAUAGGAUCCAUCUUCAACAACAGAUAUUCCUGCUCUCAUACGAAGAAAUCAUCAGGAGUAGAGAGGAUACAACAGGUCUCUACAAGAUCUUCACAUUUCUAUCACAAAUUAUCAUCACUAGUAGUUUAUAUGUCAAUAAUUAUGGAUCUUCCGGCGCCAAGGACCAAUGACAUAUUAAUGCCCAAUUUCACUUCAAGCUCUGUGGUGAUGUGGGAUUUCAUAGUUAUUUGUCUACUCUUCUCACUUCUAGUAGAUCAGAGGUAGAUAAUGGUAAGCAUGCCAAUGGGUGGAGUUCAGUGUAGUUCGACUACAUAAACCCCAUGUAUGUGUUCAUUCAGGACCGACCUUUACCAUUUAGCUUACAGUGUAUACCAAACUUGUCAAAGGACUAUCUCGAGUCAAUUCAGUGACUAUUAGAAUUUACAAUUCUGAGAGAUGUAUGCAACAUAAGCAUAAAGGUCCUAGACAGGAUGAGCAAAGUGGUUCGACGGGAACACACAAUAGUUUUCAUACCAACACAGUGAAAAUCUUCUCAGAAUAACCUCUCGGUAUACUCGCAACUUCGUGUUGCUAGCGACUACAUGUCCUUUUAUCUCAUAGUUUGCUUCAUGUCAUUCAGCGACAAAGAGAGCAAUGUGCUAACAUCUGGUUGAGCAAUGUAUGACUGAGAUUUUUGGUCAUAAAUUAUUUGGUAAGGUCAUAUUGCUUACUAAUAAAAUCCCAAUUUGUGAUGUCUUAUGCCAAAAAGGCUUUCAUGCAUUAUAUUAUAUAUCUUCGGGUUACUUCGGGUAAAACUUUAUGCAUGAGGAGAGAGCAGAGAGUUAACUUAUCCAUGUUCUGUUGUAUUUCAAUUUAAUUUCCCAGAUUAUUCAAGCACUAUAGAGCUUGAUAUAGUUGUUAUGGCCACUUGGCAAUAUAAAUAAAUAUAUGAUGCCACACAACACAAGCAAAUAAAAUAUAGAGCUAAAUAAAUUUGUUUAUGAAGGUUGCGUAUAAUGUGACUUUAGGGCUUGAACGACUCACCACAAUCCACGUGAGUACAAGCUCUAUCGUAUGUGGCGUCAACGCGUGUGUGGCCAUCUGGGCUACGACAACACAAUAAGCCUUCAUAACAAACGCAACAGGCGCAGUUGUGACUAGAUAGUCGGGGUACAAGACAAGUCCACGCAACGUGCGCAAUAGGCACAAUUGUGGCUCGAGGCAGACAGACAAUGCCUACAGGGCAUGCGAAAAAUACGUGACUCGAUGAUGGCGGUCCGACUCAACGAGAGUGGUCCGAUUAAGCGAGAGUGCGACAUAGCAAUCAAAUGACGCAGCCAAGUUCGUACGACAUAAAUACUGCGUCGUGUUGCCAGGGCGCAGCCAGUGCUCAGCCAAUGCCAUAACUCGAUCGAUUAAUAACGUAGUCUGAUCGACGUGUCUGAGUACCCACUAUACAAUUUAAUCGUUCGACGUGAGUCCAAAAGCUCAACACAUCAUAAAUAUUUAGUGCGAUUCACUUAUACACUAUAUAGUCUUUACAUGCAUUUUAAUAAUUUUCUGCUAAUUAUUUACUAUGAGAAAUAAAAGCAGAAAAAAAACCCAGAAUUAAUGCAUGAACAUAACACAUCAGAUAUAAAAUAUGUCUAUCCAUAUUUAAGCAUAUGUUUUUUCUAAUUAAUUAUUUGCGACAGGAAAUAAUUAAUUUAAAUAGAAAUCACAACAUAAAAUAUGCUUUAUUCAAUUCGUUACGUGCAAUUAAAUUGAAUAAAUAAUAUAGAGUAUGCACAUAAAUUAAUAUUGUACCAAAGUUUAUUGAUUCAGCAAAAAAAUUAUAGGAAAAACUAUAAAAAAAAUCUCACUCCCGAGAAAACCAGAUCAACGAGAUCCGUCCUUUGACAAGCUAGCUUCCGCAUUUUUUCUUUAUUAGUGGCCGCAGAUGGGCACUUGAUGGCUGCAUGCAUGCUUGUCUUUUAUCCUUGCAUGCAGUAGCAGCAGAAACGUCUUCUCACUUCUGGGGAGGAAACGGUCAAAAAAAAAGAGGCACUACCAGAUCCCCAAGUAACCGGAACGGUGGAAUGGACAUGCAAGCCACUUCCCGGUGCAUGCACUGCAUUUGACCAUAUCACGUCACUUGACCAUAGAGCAGGAGCAAGCAUAGCCGCCAUGCAAGCAAGGAACGGGUUGGCUGGUUGCCUGGGCUCAGAUGACCGAGUCGCAGCUCGGGCUCUAUGCCAGACCACAGAUUUUUGUUGAUCGCCGCCUCUCGCGGACGCGCAGACUCCGCUAUGGCCACGCGCUAGCACGCUUCUCCGGCACGAGCGUGACCUCAGCGCGGCACGACUUCUAGCGCAGCGCGGCUGCGUGCUGCCGAUGUGGGCUAGCUGUCGCUAGAGCGAGCGCUUCUGGCGCGGGCGUCGCACCACCACAGCGACGACGAUAACAAGUUCGUCGCGCAUGGAUCGUAGGCUAUGCAUAAUAGCAUAUAAAAAACAGUAAACAUACCGCUCGAUCGCGUAGAGGGAAAAUCGAAGCAUGUCGCGUAGGACAGUUCGGCUAGGCCGGAGGACCUGCCGGUUUGACGGAGAGUUGAUGCAGACCUGAUCCCGCAGCAACGUCGAGGUAGAGUGUGCUGAUAACGUGUUGAGAACUACGUUACCACGGAUCACCAGAUCCGCUCCCUUCCCUCCCGUCAGCAGUAGAGGCGCAAGAAGAUGUAGAGAACCCGUCUCCCUUCCCAUAAGCACGACAGAUGAAACACACGAGACACUGGAUAUAGGGUUGGGCCUCUGGCCUCUUUCUGAUCUCUGUAUUAUGAGGGGGUGUACAAGUUCCUUAUAUAGAGAUGUGAGACCCCUCAGGGGCAAAGCAGGUAUUUGCCCACAUAACCCUAACUAGGGUUACUUAACACUGUUGACAUGUGAAGAGGGCACAUUCUCUUCCACAAUGAAGAGGUAGGCCCCCUCCGUUUGAGCUGAGGAAAUGCCUUAUGUCGUAUCUGAUUUUGUUGACAAAACCCAGUGCUAUAUGUAUGCCGCGAUCAAUUUUUUAUACAUAUAUGACAUGAUUGGUGAAUAAUCUAUAACCAUACUUAUUAAAUAAAUGUAAUGCUUUUACAAAAGAGACCCAAAGGUGUUGUAAAAGAUCAGCACAGACAGGCUGUAGCGGCUGUAGCCUCGACUGGGUUCCGUACACCAAGAAAUUCAAUAGCGCAGAGAAGUUCUAUAGAGGG